rnacentral:rRNA from 1 species
CUCCAGUUGAUCGCAUGGUCUUCUGGGAAAGCUUUCGCGGUAUGGGAUGGGGUCGCGUCCUAUCAGCUUGACGGCGGGGUAACGGCCCACCGUGGCUUCGACGGGUAGCCGGCCUGAGAGGGCGACCGGCCACAUUGGGACUGAGAUACGGCCCAGACUCCUACGGGAGGCAGCAGUGGGGAAUAUUGCACAAUGGGCGCAAGCCUGAUGCAGCGACGCCGCGUGAGGGAUGGAGGCCUUCGGGUUGUGAACCUCUUUUAUCGGGGAGCAAGCGAGAGUGAGUUUACCCGUUGAAUAAGCACCGGCUAACUACGUGCCAGCAGCCGCGGUAAUACGUAGGGUGCAAGCGUUAUCCGGAAUUAUUGGGCGUAAAGGGCUCGUAGGCGGUUCGUCGCGUCCGGUGUGAAAGUCCAUCGCUUAACGGUGGAUCCGCGCCGGGUACGGGCGGG